rnacentral:rRNA from 1 species
GACGAACGCUGGCGGCGUGCUUAACACAUGCAAGUCGAGCGGCAAGGCCCUUUCGGGGGUACACGAGCGGCGAACGGGUGAGUAACACGUGGGUGACCUGCCCUCAGCUCUGGGAUAAGCCUGGGAAACCGGGUCUAAUACCGGAUAUGACUCCAUGACGCAUGUUGUGGGGUGGAAAGCCUUGUGCGGCUGAGGAUGGGCCCGCGGCCUAUCAGCUUGUUGGUGGGGUGANGGCCUACCAAGGCGACGACGGGUAGCCGGCCUGAGAGGGCGACCGGCCACACUGGGACUGAGACACGGCCCAGACUCCUACGGGAGGCAGCAGUGGGGAAUCUUGCGCAAUGGGCGAAAGCCUGACGCAGCGACGCCGCGUGA